rnacentral:rRNA from 1 species
GGCGAGUGAAGCGGCAACAGCUCAAAUUUGAAAUCUGGCCCCUAGGGCCCGAGUUGUAAUUUGCAGAGGAUGCUUUUGGCGAGGUGCCUUCCGAGUUCCCUGGAACGGGACGCCAUAGAGGGUGAGAGCCCCGUCUGGUUGGAUGCCGAGCCUCUGUAAAGCUCCUUCGACGAGUCGAGUAGUUUGGGAAUGCUGCUCUAAAUGGGAGGUAUAUGUCUUCUAAAGCUAAAUACCGGCCAGAGACCGAUAGCGCACAAGUAGAGUGAUCGAAAGAUGAAAAGCACUUUGAAAAGAGGGUUAAAUAGUACGUGAAAUUGUUGAAAGGGAAGCGCUUAUGACCAGACUUGGACCCGGUGAAUCAUCCAGCGUUCUCGCUGGUGCACUUUGCCGGGCUCAGGCCAGCAUCAGUUUGCCUCGGGGGAUAAAGGCUUUGGGAAUGUGGCUCCCUCGGGAGUGUUAUAGCCCAUUGCACAAUACCCUGGGGCGGACUGAGGUUCGCGCAUCUGCAAGGAUGCUGGCGUAAUGGUCAUCAGCGACCCGUCUUGAAACACGGACCAAGGAGUCGUCUUCGUAUGCGAGUGUUCGGGUGUAAAACCCCUACGCGUAAUGAAAGUGAACGCAGGUGAGAGCUUCGGCGCAUCAUCGACCGAUCCUGAUGUUCUCGGAUGGAUUUGAGUAAGAGCAUACGGGGCCGGACCCGAAAGAAGGUGAACUAUGCCUGUAUAGGGUGAAGCCAGAGGAAACUCUGGUGGAGGCUCGCAGCGGUUCUGACGUGCAAAUCGAUCGUCAAAUAUGGGCAUGGGGGCGAAAGACUAAUCGAACC